AGAAUUUUUCUCAAUGGGGGAAACCCUGAAGGAGCGACGCCGCGUGGGGGAUGAAGGGCUUCGGCUCGUAAACCCCUGUCAAGUGUGAGCACAUGUUAGUGUUUAAGAGAUGCUGACAUGAUAGUAGCAAAAGAGGAAGGGACGGCUAACUCUGUGCCAGCAGCCGCGGUAAUACAGAGGUCCCAAGCGUUGUUCGGAAUCACUGGGCGUAAAGGGUGCGUAGGCGGUAUGGUAAGACUCAUGUGAAAUCUCUGUGCUCAACGCAGAGGCUGCAUGAGAGACUGCUGUGCUGGAGGAUUGGAAGGGAGACUGGAAUUCUUGGAGUAGCAGUGAAAUGCGUAGAUAUCAAGAGGAACACCAGUGGCGAAGGCGAGUCUCUGGACAAAACCUGACGCUGAGGCACGAAAGCCAGGGGAUCAAACG
rnacentral:rRNA from 1 species